UGAUGCGUUGGAAAAAUCUGUAGCUAGAAUCAGCAGCGCAGCGCCGCCGUUCGGUCGCCGAAACUAAACGUAGCUACGUCACGCGUGCGCCGAGCGCCAUCUAGCGGCGCGCUGCCUCCGCCGCAUCGCCUCACCUGCCUCGCGCGACAUUUCUCCGUCGCGCUCGCACCAGUGGCACGUAGAAAUAACCUCAAAACUCUCGCGUACCAACCAAUCACCAAAAUAUUGCUCCUCGCAGUAUUAAUAACAGUGACUACAAUCCGUAAGACGGCUAACAGUGUUAUGAACGUGACGUAAUCCUGUCACACUCCUGGAUUUGCCCUGCAGUGUUGCUUCAUAGUGAUUUUGAUAAAAUCGAAAGUUUACAGGACGAAUGUUCCUUUUGGUGGGCUGUCAUCGGGCAGCCCCCAAAUUUUGUGCCAUAAUGUGGUGGUUAAUAUUUUUAUGUGUUGUAAACGUUAAAACGUUCGGUGUAUUAGCAUCGAAUAGCAGUGGGACUAUCUCAGAAUCAAUAUGUUCGUUGAAGCAGUUCCAGUGCAACAAUGGCAAGUGCAUACCCAGCAUGUGGGUGUGUGAUCUGGAGAAGGACUGCGAAGACAACUCCGAUGAAGAAAUUGAAGAAUGCAAAAAAGAAAGUCGCACGUGCACACAGGCAGAGUUCCGAUGCAAGACUGGAAGAUGUAUUCCGAUGUCCUGGCACUGCGACAGUGAGAAAGACUGCCCUGAUGGCUCAGACGAAGAUCCUAGCACAUGCAAGGUGAAGUCGUGCGGGCCCGAGGAGUUCACCUGCAGAGGACGAGACGGCGAGUGCGUCCCGCUCACGUGGAUGUGCGACGACAACGCCGACUGCUCCGACGGAUCUGAUGAGAAAGCAUGCAAUGAGACCUGUCGUUCGGACGAGUUCACAUGUGGCAACGGCAAGUGCAUCCAGCUCCGAUGGGUGUGCGACGGUGAUGACGACUGCGGGGAUGACAGCGACGAAGUCAAGUGCCCUCCCCCGACCUGCCAGCCUCAGACACACUUCUCCUGCGGGAACGGUCACUGCGUGUCAGCGUGGUGGCGCUGUGACGGCACUGAGGACUGCCCUGAUGGAAGCGAUGAAGUUGGCUGCACAGCGACACCAAAAGUUCGAUCACCCUGCAUAUCAUCGGAAUUCGAAUGCAAGGACCGCAUGACCUGUGUCCACAAGGCGUGGGUGUGUGAUGGAGACCGAGACUGUCCGGACGGUGGUGAUGAAGACCCUCAGCAGUGCCGGAGAAACAUCACCUGCAGGCUUGACCAGUACCAGUGCAAUGAUCACAGCUGUAUCCCUGGAGCGCUGUACUGCAACGGAGAUAAAGACUGUCCCGAUGGAAGUGACGAGCGUAAUUGCACACAACCAAAACCAGUGUGCGACAAGAAAACAGAAUUCGACUGCGGCGCUGGAAUGUGCAUUCCUCUCUCAAAGGUGUGUGACAAGCAUCCAGACUGCCCGAACUUUGAAGACGAGCCUCGAGACAGAUGUGGGGAGAACGAAUGCGAGAAGAACAACGGAGGAUGUACACAGCGCUGUGUUGACACUCCUGUUGGAUACUACUGCGACUGUGAAAAGGGAUACAAGCUUGUUGAUAACAGGACUUGUGAAGACGUCGACGAGUGUUCAGACCCUGGCGCAUGCUCACAAAUGUGCAUCAAUGAGAAAGGCACCUUCAAAUGCGAAUGCCACGUCGGUUAUGCCCGAGACCCUCGAGAUAGGACCAGGUGUAAGGCUACUGAAGGCCAUCCUUCACUCCUGUUUGCCAGACGGUUCGACAUCCGCAAGAUCAGCUUAGAUCACCACGAAAUGGUUGCUAUAGUGAAUGACACGAAGUCUGCGACUGCUUUAGAUUAUGUCUUCAGGACAGGAAUGAUCUUCUGGAGUGAUGUUACUGAUGAGAAGAUUUACAAAGCGCCAAUCGACGAAGGCACACAAAGAACAGUCGUGAUCGGAGACCAGCUCAUCACAUCCGACGGCUUGGCAGUCGACUGGAUAUACAACCACUUGUACUGGACGGAUACUGGGAAGAACCACAUCGAGUUAUCAGACCUGCAAGGGAACAUGAGGAAGAUCCUCAUCAGGGAUCAACUUGAGGAACCUAGAGCUAUUGCCCUUAAUCCUCUAGAUGGAUGGAUGUACUGGACCGAUUGGGGCCAGGUGCCGAAGAUCGAGCGAGCUGGCAUGGACGGCUCUCACAGACAGACCAUCGUGUCUUAUGACGUCAAAUGGCCCAAUGGCCUGACACUGGACCUCGUCCGCAAACGAGUUUAUUGGGUGGACGCUAAAAUGAACAUGAUAUCCUCUUGCAACUACGAUGGAACAGGGCGUAGGGUGAUCCUGUACUCCACAGACGUGUUACGUCACCCAUUCUCCAUCACCACGUUCGAGGAUUGGGUCUACUGGACUGACUGGGACAAGGCCGCCGUCUACCGCGCCAACAAAUUCAACGGAAAAGAUAUUGAAGCUAUUACUCCUACACAUAACCUCCAAAACCCGAUGGUGAUCCACGUGUAUCACCCAUACCGCCAGCCCGAUGGUGUGAACCACUGCGCGGCUGUCAACGGUCACUGCUCCCAUCUCUGUCUCCCAGCACCACGCAUCGGGGCGAACUCCCCUCGCGUCUCCUGCGCCUGCCCCAAUGGGCUGAGACUACUGCCUGACAACCAGAUGUGCGUCGAAGACAGUGUCCCUGAAACACCUAAGACUGGUACAGGAAUCUCAAGCAGCGGCCGCGAUGCCGGCAUGGUAGCCGGUGUCGUUGUUGCAGUAAUCUCUGGAAUCAUCAUAUUGGCAGCACUGAUCGCAGUGGUUAUGUACAGACAUUACGUGCACCGUAAUGUUACAUCUAUGAACUUCGACAACCCGGUGUACCGCAAGACGACGGAGGACCAAUUCGCGCUCGAGAAGAAUGGCUACGCACCGGGCAGCAAGCUGUACCCCAGUACCGUGGGAGAAGAGGUGAGAGCGCUUACCGCCAUGGAGUGUACGCUUAACAUACAGAACAGUCUAAGAUAAGUCGCACAAGGACGCACUGCCCUCCGCCAAGCCAAUUAACGAGUUAGUGCCUCACGCCACUAACUCACUUCUUCCUUUCAUAUAUUUUUACUGUAAACUAAGAAUAUUAUUUUAAAAAUGAGAACAUCACUCCAACUUCUUGUGUACAAUGAAUUAUACCCCGUGUAACUUGGCCAAAAUGAUAAAUUGUUGUAAAUAUCAAUGAAAACUAGCAUUAUUUUACUAUAGUAAAUAAUUAUUAUAAGGUCUGCCUAAGACAUUUUAAACUUGAUGUAUUUAGAGUUAUUAUAUUUACUAGAGAUUGUUUUAAGGAUUUAUAGGAGAUAUUUUCGUUUAGAUUUAAUGAUUGUGGCAAUUUAUAAUGUGCCAACAUUUUUACCGCAUCAGUAUUAAAUCAUAGUUGCCAAAUUAUUGGCUCUAAGUGGUAGGUGUAAAAUGCUGUAAAUAGUCCCUUUUAAAUAGCAAAUAUGAUUUUUGUAAUCUGCCUAAAGCUUAACAUAGACUUUACUAAUAAUAUUUUACUGCCGUAAUAUUUAUUUUUCAUGCGUUAACAUGCGAGGGCAUUAAUAUGGCCCAAGAACCUCUCAACACACCAGGUACAAAUGACUUUGUAUAGUGUACAAGCUGGAAGUAAAUACAGUAUAAUGUCAUUGAAUGUGAAAAGAAAGAGAAGGACAUGUGAUACUUAAAAUAGUGUUAUCCAGUGAAUGGGACUUAAGCUAACAUUUUUGUAGUAAACUCUAAAAAUAGUUAGCGUUAGUGCAGUGAAGUGAAAGCUUAUUGGAACAAAGUUCUGUUUGCUGUCAUGCCUCGCGCCGGGAUGGAUCUCAAAAUUACGAUUAUUUCAUCAGCUGUCAUAUCACAAGACUUUGGUUUUUAUUUACACAGAUGUAGAGAAAGGCAGAUGUUUGUUAAAGUGACAAGUGACAUCUGUUAAAAUUGUCGAUGGUUUAUCAAAUUUGUUAUACGAUUACCAUCUUCAUGUUAUGUAAUUGGAAGCGUGGCGGUGUUCAGUCGGUAGUGACGGACUCGCCGUGUGGUCAGCUAGCGCCAUCUCCCUUUCUCCGCGUCUGUUCUCAGUACGUAAGAGAUCUUGGUAAUGCUUUUGUAUCUGUAUCACAUUAUUCGACGUUAGAAGGGACAUGUUUGCUCUAAUUUUCUCUUUACACUGUGAAUAGUAUAAACAUUCUUAAUAUUGCUUUAUCAAAUGCCUGGUGCAUUGUAAUUAUUUAUAUAGAGUUUACAAUUUUUUAUUCCACUUUAGUUGAUAAUGUUAAAUAUUAUACACCUAUACAGCAAUCUUAAACUCUGUACCGCAUUCAGAGAGAAUGAAAAGCUCAUGUUUCAUAAUGAAAUGUACUUAGUUAGUAGUUUGUCAUGUUUUCCUAAAUAUUUUUUAAAAUUGAACUGAUUCUGCAUAUACGAAUAUGAAAUCUCCAGGUACCUAUUUACCUAGAUUGAUUAAAAAUAAAUAAUGGAUUUAUUUAUUGCAACACACUAGUAAAUAUAGGCUAAUGAUAACAGUAUAAUGUGCCAAUUUUAGUAAAAUUUACAAUUGUGUCGCCAAAUUUUAUUGUACUAUAAACUUGAUAGUAGUUGAAUUCUCAUACGUUUGUUGCGUCUGUAAUUUAUUUGUACUAUAUAAAAUUGUUAUUAUUAGCAUAAAGCAGUUUUAAUAUGAAUUUAUAUUUUAUGUACCAGUUGAGUUUUUCCAUCGAACAAUUUAUGUAUUUAUAAUAUUUAAUAGCAAUGAACGCAUAGUAUUUGGAAUGUGACUUUGUCAAGCAAAAUCCUGCCAAAUCCUUAAAAUAUAAAUAUUACUCUAUUUUUAAUGUAAUUCAAUUACAUUAUUACAUACUUGAUGCACAUUUCAUACAAUAUGCCUAGCUCAAUAAGUGUGGUCACCAAAAUAAAUUAUUGUGUAAAUAUUGUCAGUAAAAUAUAUGUAAAAGGUGUUAAUA